UACGGGGGGGGUAAGCGUUGUUCGGAAUUACUGGGCGUAAAGGGCUCGUAGGUGGUUUGUCGCGUUGUUCGUGAAAACUCACAGCUCAACUGUGGGCGUGCGGGCGAUACGGGCAGACGUUGAGUACUGCAGGGGAGACUGGAAUUCCUGGUGUAGCGGUGGAAUGCGCAGAUAUCAGGAGGAACACCGGUGGCGAAGGCGGGUCUCUGGGCAGUAACUGACGCUGAGGAGCGAAAGCGUGGGGAGCGAACAGG
rnacentral:rRNA from 1 species